rnacentral:rRNA from 1 species
CCUACGGGUGGCAGCAGUGAGGAAUAUUGGUCAAUGGACGAAAGCCUGAACCAGCCAAGUAGCGUGAAGGAUGACUGCUCUAUGGGUUGUAAACUUCUUUUAUAAGGGAAUAAAACGAGGCACGUGUGCCUUUUUGUAUGUACUUUAUGAAUAAGGAUCGGCUAACUCCGUGCCAGCAGCCGCGGUAAUACGGAGGAUCCGAGCGUUAUCCGGAUUUAUUGGGUUUAAAGGGAGCGUAGGUGGGUUGUUAAGUCAGUUGUGAAAGUAUGUGGCUCAACCGUAGAAUUGCAAUUGAUACUGGCAGUCUUGAGUACAGGUGAGGUAGGCGGAAUGCGUGGUGUAGCGGUGAAAUGCUUAGAUAUCACGAAGAACCCCGAUGGCGAAGGCAGCUUACUAAACUGUGACUGACACUGAUGCGCGAAAGCGUGGGGAUCAAACAGGAUUAGAUACCCGUGUAGUC